UAGGGAAUCUUCCGCAAUGGACGCAAGUCUGACGGAGCAACGCCGCGUGAGUGAAGAAGGAUUUCGGUUCGUAAAACUCUGUUGUUAGAGAAGAACAGCGCAUAGAGUAACUGUUAUGCGUGUGACGGUAUCUAACCAGAAAGCCACGGCUAACUACGUGCCAGCAGCCGCGGUAAUACGUAGGUGGCAAGCGUUGUCCGGAUUUAUUGGGCGUAAAGCGAGCGCAGGCGGUCAAUUAAGUCUGAUGUGAAAGCCCCCGGCUCAACCGGGGAGGGUCAUUGGAAACUGGUUGACUUGAGUGCAGAAGAGGGGGGAGGAAUUCCAUGUGUAGCGGUGAAAUGCGUAGAUAUAUGGAGGAACACCAGUGGCGAAGGCGACUCUCUGGUCUGUAACUGACGCUGAGGCUCGAAAGCGUGGGUAGCAAACAGG
rnacentral:rRNA from 1 species